UUUAUUUUCCUUCAAUAAACUUAAACCUCCCAAAUUGGAGGAACUCAAAAAAUUUAUUUAAGGGAGGGAUUGUACAAAUUUCCCAAAUCAUUAUUCUCUUUUAUACUACUCAAACCAAAACAAUACUAGUUGUUAUUCACAUUCACCAGCCCUUCCUUCCAAAGGUAUUGCCUGAAACUAGGUGACAAACUUUCCUUCCCCCUCCUCUCGAAUCAAUCUCCUUUUCUCUCCUAACUUGCAAACAAGACCUUUGGCUUUACUUGAUGAUGAUCUAAGUUUUAGAUUUGGAUCCUCUCUUGAUAUUUGGAUCCUCUCUUUUCUUCUUCUAACCACAAACCCUCUCCAAAUCUCCCUAUUUUUGUUAUUCCCUCUUCAAAAACAAAAAUUACUAGAACCAGUGUGAACUCUAAAAUCAAAAUAUAUUUGCUAUCGAUAAACCCAAAUAAAAAAGCUGACAUAAAUUAUGAAGAAUUUC
rnacentral:lncRNA from 1 species